GAUGAAGAACGCAGCGAAAUGCGAUAAGUAAUGUGAAUUGCAGAAUUCAGUGAAUCAUCGAAUCUUUGAACGCACAUUGCGCCCGCCAGUAUUCUGGCGGGCAUGCCUGUUCGAGCGUCAUUACAACCCUCAGGCCCCCGGGCCUGGCGUUGGGGAUCGGCGGAAGCCCCCUGCGGGCACAACGCCGUCCCCCAAAUACAGUGGCGGUCCCGCCGCAGCUUCCAUUGCGUAGUAGCUAACACCUCGCAACUGGAGAGCGGCGCGGCCACGCAGUAAAACACCCAACUUCUGAAUGUUGACCUCGAAUCAGGUAGGAAUACCCGCUGAACUUAAGCAUAUCAAUAAGCGGAGGA
rnacentral:misc_RNA from 1 species